GAUGAAGAACGCAGCGAAAUGCGAUAAGUAAUGUGAAUUGCAGAAUUCAGUGAAUCAUCGAAUCUUUGAACGCAUCUUGCGCUCCUUGGUAUUCUGAGGAGCAUGCCUGUUUGAGUGUCAUUAAAUUCUCAACUACACUGACUUUGAAUUGGUGUGGCUUGGAUUCGGGGGGAAAAUUGUUGUGGGCUUUUUGUAUAGUCUGCUCCCCUGAAAUUGAUUAGCGGUACCUUUGUGGAACUGUCUACAGGUGUGAUAAUUAUCUACAUCUUAGACAUCUGCUGGAAUGCUGCUUUCUAAACCUUACUUGUAUUGACAAUCUUGACCUCAAAUCAGGUAGGACUACCCGCUGAACUUAAGCAUAUCAAUAAGCGGAGGA
rnacentral:misc_RNA from 1 species